rnacentral:rRNA from 1 species
GACGAACGCUGGCGGCGUGCUUAACACAUGCAAGUCGAGCGGAAAGGCCCUGCUUUUGUGGGGUGCUCGAGUGGCGAACGGGUGAGUAACACGUGAGUAACCUGCCCUUGACUUUGGGAUAACUUCAGGAAACUGGGGCUAAUACCGGAUAUGAGCUCCUGCUGCAUGGUGGGGGUUGGAAAGUUUCGGCGGUUGGGGAUGGACUCGCGGCUUAUCAGCUUGUUGGUGGGGUAGUGGCUUACCAAGGCUUUGACGGGUAGCCGGCCUGAGAGGGUGACCGGCCACAUUGGGACUGAGAUACGGCCCAGACUCCUACGGGAGGCAGCAGUGGGGAAUAUUGCACAAUGGGCGGAAGCCUGAUGCAGCAACGCCGCGUGCGGGAUGACGGCCUUCGGGUUGUAAACCGCUUUCGCCUGUGACGAAGCGUGAGUGACGGUAAUGGGUAAAGAAGCACCGGCUAACUACGUG